AGAGUUUGAUCCUGGCUCAGAAUGAACGUUGGCGGCGUGCCUAACACAUGCAAGUCGAGCGUGAAAGUUCCUUCGGGAACAAGUAAAGCGGCGAACGGGUGAGUAACGCGUGGGAAUCUGCCUUUUAGUGAAGGAUACCUUUGAGAAAUUGAAGUUAAUACUGCAUACGUCCCUUCGGGGAGAAAGAUGGCCUCUUUGCUGUCGCUAGAAGAUGAGCCCGCGUACUAUUAGUUAGUUGGUGGGGUAAAGGCCUACCAAGACGAUGAUGGUUAGCCGGCCUGAGAGGGUGUACGGCCACAUUGGGACUGAGAUACGGCCCAGACUCCUACGGGAGGCAGCAGUGAGGAAUAUUGCGCAAUGGGGGAAACCCUGACGCAGCGACGCCGCGUGGAGGAUGAAGGUUUUAGGAUUGUAAACUCCUGUUAAGCGGGAAGAAACGUGUUGAUUUAAUACAUCAACAUAAUGACGGUACCGCUAGAGAAAGCACCGGCUAACUUCGUGCCAGCAGCCGCGGUAAUACGAGGGGUGCUAACGUUAUUCGGAUUUAUUGGGCGUAAAGGGUGCGUAGGUGGCAAUGUAAGUCUGUUGUUAAAUUUUCCGGCCUAACUGGAAACAUGCGAUGGAUACUGCAUUACUAGAGGAUGGGAGAGAGAAGUGGAAUCCUUGGAGUAGCGGUAAAAUGCGUAGAUCUCAAGAGGAACACCAAUGGCGAAGGCAGCUUCUUGGCCCAAUCCUGACACUGAGGCACGAAAGCGUGGGGAGCAAACAGGAUUAGAUACCCUGGUAGUCCACGCUGUAAACGAUGAUCACUGGAUGUCGGUUUUGCUUUGCAGAAUCGGUGUCGUAGCUAACGCGCUAAGUGAUCCGCCUGGGGAUUACGGUCGCAGGACUAAAACUUAAAGGAAUUGACGGGGGUCCGCACAAGCGGUGGAACAUGUGGUUUAAUUCGACACUACGCGAGGAACCUUACCUAGGCUUGACAUGCCUUUGACCGCCAUAGAAACAUGGCUUUCUAAGCUUCGGUUUAGACAGUUGCACAGGUGCUGCAUGGCUGCCGUCAGCUCGUGUCGUGAGAUGUUUGGUUAAGUCCUCUAACGAGCGCAACUCUCGCUGUCAGUUGCCACCUACUUCGGUAGAGCACUCUGACGGGACUGCCUGGGAUAACCAGGAGGAAGGUGGGAAUGACGUCAAGUCAUCAUGGUCCUUAUGCCUAGGGCUACACACGUGUUACAAUGGUCGGUACAACGGGUUGCAAACUCGCAAGAGUAAGCUAAUCCCUGAAAGCCGAUCUAAGUUCGGAUUGGGGUCUGAAACUCGACCCCAUGAAGUUGAAAUCGCUAGUAAUCGCGUAUCAGCAACGACGCGGUGAAUACGUUCUCGGACCUUGUACACACCGCCCGUCACACCAUGAGAGCUGUCUGUACCCAAAGCCGUUUUAGCUAACCUGCAAAGGAGGCGAGCGUCUAAGGUAUGGGGAGUGAUUGGGGUGAAGUCGUAACAAGGUAGCCGU
rnacentral:rRNA from 1 species